UGGGGAAUAUUGGGCAAUGGGCGAAAGCCUGACCCAGCAACGCCGCGUGAAGGAUGAAGUAUUUCGGUAUGUAAACUUCGAAAGAAUAGGAAGAAUAAAUGACGGUACUAUUUAUAAGGUCCGGCUAACUACGUGCCAGCAGCCGCGGUAAUACGUAGGGACCAAGCGUUGUUCGGAUUUACUGGGCGUAAAGGGCGCGUAGGCGGCAAUUCAAGUCAUCUGUGAAAUCUCCGGGCUUAACUCGGAACGGUCAGAUGAUACUGCUUUGCUAGAGUGCAGAAGGGGCAAUCGGAAUUCUUGGUGUAGCGGUGAAAUGCGUAGAUAUCAAGAGGAACACCUGAGGUGAAGACGGGUUGCUGGGCUGACACUGACGCUGAGGCGCGAAAGCCAGGGGAGCAAACGGGAUUAGAUACCCGCGUAGUCCCUGAGCGGGCUGGCAAGGCGCAU
rnacentral:rRNA from 1 species